GAUAUCCCCAAAAAUCCACUACAGACUCAGAUGAAAAUAACAAGCAAAACUCACAGUUUUUAAGGAUAAGACGAAACUGUUCCAAUGUGCCAUUUUUAUGAUGAUUUUAUUGUAUUUUUUAGGAAAAUAGUUUUAUGAAUGUUAUUUAACACACUGUCACUUUAAAUGCAUGCAAUUGUGUGCACAUUAUUCUGCACUUAAACAAG